AGAGUUUGAUCCUGGCUCAGGAUGAACGCUGGCGGCGUGCCUAACACAUGCAAGUCGAACGGAACUUCUUCGACAGAAUUCUUCGGAAGGAAGUUGAUUAAGUUUAGUGGCGGACGGGUGAGUAACGCGUGAGUAACCUGCCUUUGAGAGGGGAAUAACUUCCCGAAAGGGAUGCUAAUACCGCAUGACGCAUAUUUAUCGCAUGGUAGAUAUGCCAAAGAUUUAUCGCUCAAAGAUGGACCCGCGUUGGAUUAGCUAGUUGGUGAGGUAAUGGCCCACCAAGGCGACGAUCCAUAGCCGACCUGAGAGGGUGACCGGCCACAUUGGGACUGAGACACGGCCCAAACUCCUACGGGAGGCAGCAGUGGGGAAUAUUGCACAAUGGGCGAAAGCCUGAUGCAGCGACGCCGCGUGAGCGAAGAAGUAUUUCGGUAUGUAAAGCUCUAUCAGCAGGGAAGAUAAUUGACGGUACCUGACUAAGAAGCACCGGCUAAAUACGUGCCAGCAGCCGCCGGUAAUACGUAUGGUGCAAGCCGUAAUCCGGAUUUACUGGGUGUAAAGGGAGCGCCAGCCGGUGCGCAAAUUCUGAUGGAAAAGCCCGGGGGCUCAACCCCCGGUACUGCAUUUGGAAAACUGUGGUACUAGAGUGUCGGAGGGGUAAGCGGAAAUUCCUAGGUGUAGCGGUGAAAUGCGUAGAUAUUGGGAGGAACACCGGUGGCGAAGGCGGCUUACUGGACGAUAACUGACGCUGAGGCUCGAAAGCGUGGGGAGCGAACAGGAUUAGAUACCCUGGUAGUCCACGCCGUAAACGAUGAGUGCUAGGUGUUGGAUCCUUUCCGGGAUUCAGUGCCGCAGCUAACGCAUUAAGCACUCCGCCUGGGGAGUACGACCGCAAGGUUGAAACUCAAAGGAAUUGACGGGGGCCCGCACAAGCGGUGGAGCAUGUGGUUUAAUUCGAAGCAACGCGAAGAACCUUACCAGGUCUUGACAUCCCGAUGCUAUUUCUAGAGAUAGAAAGUUACUUCGGUACAUCGGUGACAGGUGGUGCAUGGUUGUCGUCAGCUCGUGUCGUGAGAUGUUGGGUUAAGUCCCGCAACGAGCGCAACCCCUAUCUUUAGUAGCCAGCAUUUCGGAUGGGCACUCUAGAGAGACUGCCAGGGAUAACCUGGAGGAAGGUGGGGAUGACGUCAAAUCAUCAUGCCCCUUAUGACCAGGGCUACACACGUGCUACAAUGGCGUAAACAAAGGGAAGCGAGCCCGCGAGGGGGAGCAAAUCCCAAAAAUAACGUCUCAGUUCGGAUUGUAGUCUGCAACUCGACUACAUGAAGCUGGAAUCGCUAGUAAUCGCGAAUCAGAAUGUCGCGGUGAAUACGUUCCCGGGUCUUGCACACACCGCCCGUCA
rnacentral:rRNA from 1 species